AGUGAACGCUGGCGGCAGGCCUAACACAUGCAAGUCGAACGGCAGCGCGUUAAUCGCUUUCUCUGACGGGUGCCGAGGGGCGGACGAUACAUGGAUACAUCGGCAUCUGCUUUUUCUAAGGGGGUAACACAGGGGCACUUACCCCAAUACCGCUUACGACGUACGCGUGAGAGCGGAGGAUCUCCCGACCCAGCGCGAUUCAAUGAGCGGAUGUCGGAUUAGCUAGUUGGCGGGGUAAAGGCCCACCAAGGCGACGAUCGGUAGCUGGUCUGAGAGGAUGAUCAGCCACACUGGAACUGAGACACGGUCCAGACUCCUACGGGAGGCAGCAGUGGGGAAUAUUGGACAAUGGGCGCAAGCCUGAUCCAGCCAUACCGCGUGGGUGAAGAAGGCCUUCGGGUUGUAAAGCCCUUUUGUUGGGAAAGAAAAGCAGCAGGUUAAUACCCCGCUGUUAUGACGGUACCCAAAGAAUAAGCACCGGCUAACUUCGUG
rnacentral:rRNA from 1 species